rnacentral:rRNA from 1 species
CUUCCUAGGGACGCAGCAGUGGGGAAUAUUGCACAAUGGGGGAAACCCUGAUGCAGCGACGCCGCGUGAGCGAUGAAGUAUUUCGGUAUGUAAAGCUCUAUCAGCAGGGAAGAAAAUGACGGUACCUGACUAAGAAGCCCCGGCUAACUACGUGCCAGCAGCCGCGGUAAUACGUAGGGGGCAAGCGUUAUCCGGAUUUACUGGGUGUAAAGGGAGCGUAGACGGUCCUGCAAGCCAGAUGUGAAAGCCCGGGGCUCAACCCCGGGACUGCAUUUGGAACUGUAAGGCUAGAGUGUCGGGGAGGG